rnacentral:lncRNA from 1 species
ACCCCAUACUCUCUAUAUAGUACAAAAUAUCAAUAAUAUUAUCAUCUUCAUAAAUUCUUAGCUUGCAACUGUCAUCCAACUGGACACUGCCUUUUAUUAGAUGUUUUUGUUGUUUGCUUAAGGUAACACUUAUUUUCCUUUUUUCUUUAAUUUUUUUUAUACAAGUAUUGUUAAAUCGAGCGAUAUGAACCAUAAAAAUUUAUAUAGUCGAUCCUAAUUUACUUGGAAUUGAAGCGUAUCAGUAGUAGUAAUUGUUGUUAUCUUAGUAAUGUAUAAUGGGAAUUUGAGAGGCUUAUAAGACCUUGAGACUUGAAAAUUUUCCUAAGUAUAUAUGGUUCAUUUUUCUUGUUCUUUUCUCAUAAUUGAUCUACCUUCAUCAGAUAGGGUAACAUCUGUGCACACGCUAUUCUUUUCAGACACCACUUGUAGGAUUACACUGAGUCUAUUAUUGUUAUUUUCUCAUGAUUGAUUUUAACUUUUUGUGCAGGGAAAAAGGGAUUUGUUUUGAUCUUCUUCUAUUGUUUGUUUCUUGAACUGCAAAGAAGAUGUCAACAACUUGUAUAAGCAACAAGAACUUCAACUUAUCUAUAAGAAUGGCAGAAGAAACAAUAGCACCACAAUUGAGUAAACCACCA